GCGUUGUUCGGAUUUACUGGGCGUAAAGGGCGCGUAGGCGGUUGGACAAGUCACUUGUGAAAUCUGAAAGCUUAACUUUCAGCGGCCAAGUGAUACUGUUCGACUAGAGUGCAGAAGGGGCAACUGGAAUUCUCGGUGUAGCGGUGAAAUGCGUAGAUAUCGAGAGGAACACCAGCGGCGAAGGCGGGUUGCUGGGCUGACACUGACGCUGAGGCGCGAAAGCUAG
rnacentral:rRNA from 1 species